GUACCCGUAGCUCAACGGAUAGAGCAACUGCCUUCUAAGCAGUAGGUUGUCGGUUCGAUUCCGGCCGGGUAUACCA
rnacentral:tRNA from 1 species